rnacentral:rRNA from 1 species
UACGUAGGCAGCAAGCGUUGUUCGGAGUUACUGGGCGUAAAGGGUGCGUAGGUGGUUGUUUAAGUCUGCUGUGAAAGCCCCGGGCUCAACCUGGGAAUGGCAGUGGAUACUGGACAGCUAGAGUGCGGUAGAGGGUAGUGGAAUUCCCGGUGUAGCAGUGAAAUGCGUAGAGAUCGGGAGGAACACCAGUGGCGAAGGCGGCUACCUGGACCAGCACUGACACUGAAG